rnacentral:rRNA from 1 species
UAUCCUUUGUUGCCAGCGGUCCGGCCGGGAACUCAAAGGAGACUGCCAGUGAUCAACCGGAGGAAGGUGGGGAUGACGUCAAGUCAUCAUGGCCCUUACGACCAGGGCUACACACGUGCUACAAURGCGCAUACAAAGAGAAGCGACCUCGCGAGAGCAAGCGGACCUCAUAAAGUGCGUCGUAGUCCGGAUUGGAGUCUGCAACUCGACUCCAUGAAGUCGGAAUCGCUAGUAAUCGUGGAUCAGAAUGCCACGGUGAAUACGUUCCCGGGCCUUGUACACACCGCCCGUCACACCAUGGGAGUGGGUUGCAAAAGAAGUAGGUAGCUUAACCUUCGGGAGGGCGCUUACCACUUUGUGAUUCAUGACUGGGGUGAAGUCGUAACAAGGUAACCGUAGGGGAACCUGCGGUUGGAUCACCUCCUUACCUUAAAGAA